UUGCUUCGUUGCAGCAAACGAAGCAAAUCCACGCUCUAGGCGAAUGACGCGCAGCUCAGUGCGGUGCGAGUGUCAUUGCACAGGUUGAUGGGCUCACAGCCUCGGAGGCCGCCAUAGCUCCCUCGCUGACUCAUUGACAAGAAUCAUCGAGCACCACGAUCUCAUCAAGCUCCUCAGCAACGUCCGCAACAAUCUCAACACAACGCUCAAUGUGUGUGUAUCCUUCUUCCACUCAAAGAAAGGCUCCUCCCACGGUACGUUUUGCUCGCAGGACGUGGAGGGGAUGAUGUCCAUUUCAGUCGAGGCUGCGGAAGCCAGAGCAUCGCUCAAUGACGACAAGGAACUCGUGACGACUUUGGAGGCAUGAAACUCUCACUUCCUAUACACUCGCUGCUAACUUUGCCGGCAUUUCUUCCUAACUUAGAUGGCCCUCGAAGGGAUUUGCACUGGCGACAGCAUCUUCCAGAACUUUGUGACCAGCUUGUCAAGGAAGAGCCAAGCGCUGCAUGGGAUGAAGCGAAUGCGUUGAGCCUCUCUGCCUCUCUGCCUCUCAGCUUGUUCUGACGCAGAUAUAAACCCGCUGUGCAGAUCGGCGGGGAGCUGCCGGAUGUGUAUGACUUUGUGGCCCCGUGGUACAGUCUAGGUUGCGUGCAUUUUCAAGUGCUGAGACUUUGCUGCUGCAACUUACAGCUAUGAGAUCUUCCUGGUGAUGGUGCAGCUAUAUACGGGGUGCUUCAUCCAGAUGCUGAGGGCCCUGGCUGACCGUGCAAGUGACCACAUCCUCAAGGUCGGUGUACAUUGUGGAGCUUUCGAGUAACUUCUAAACAGGUAUACAAUAUCAAGAGCAGUUGCUAAACUUGGGGGUGGAUGAGUUAAGCACCGCGCUACUUGCCAAGGACUCGCCAGAGUAGAACUGCCGCCUAUCGAUAAGAUCUCGUUUGCGGCCUUACGCAGGGAGAUGGAAGGCGCUGGCUAUGCUACUGCGGGAGAGGAGAAUCGGAUGCUGGCUCAGGCCUACUGCGAUUGAGCAGCUGAUUACUCUAGGAAAACAGGUGGUUAUUCUAUAGACUGGAGGGUUUACUUCUUCCUGUGUUCAAUAUCAUUCUUAUAAAAACUCAAACCAUUUCCUGUCGCAA